rnacentral:rRNA from 1 species
UACGUAGGGUGCAAGCGUUGUCCGGAAUUAUUGGGCGUAAAGAGCUCGUAGGCGGCCUGUCGCGUCGACUGUGAAAACCCAGGGCUCAACCCUGGGCCUGCAGUCGAUACGGGCAGGCUAGAGUGCAGUAGGGGAGACUGGAAUUCCUGGUGUAGCGGUGAAAUGCGCAGAUAUCAGGAGGAACACCGGUGGCGAAGGCGGGUCUCUGGACAGUUCCUGACGCUGAGGCACGAAGGUCAGGGGAGCAAACGGG